ACGCUCGACACCUACGGGAGCAGCAGUCGGGAAUAUUGCGCAAUGGAGGAAACUCUGACGCAGUGACGCCGCGUGCAGGAAGAAGGUUUUCGGAUUGUAAACUGCUUUAGACAGGGAAGAAAGAAAUGACAGUACCUGUAGAAUAAGCUCCGGCUAACUACGUGCCAGCAGCCACGGUAAUCUGAGCGGGCUGGCAAGGC
rnacentral:rRNA from 1 species